UGUAGUCCGCCCAGAAGAGGCGGGCACUUACAGGACGGCCGCCCAGCGUUCCGUGCGCGUGUGCGACGUCUAAGGAAGCCGGACGGAAGGUUGGCUUUUGCAGUUGGCGGCUGUUACCUCAGUCUGUUUCCGGGCAGAGGUUUCCACGCUGUUGGGCCGGGCUUGUGGAGCGAAUUCGGGGCCAUUUCUCCUGGGUUAGGUGGUGGGUGGGAGGCUCAGUAAUAUGAACCCGUUAGGGCUUUAGGUUCCUUGCUACUACCUACACUAUGAGCCCUUGAGGUGUUCCAGUGUUUGAGGGACUCAGAAGUUGGAGCUAGGGGCGCGCACCUCACUAAGAGGUUUUACUUAAUGAGAAAUUUAAUCUGACAUGCCCGAUUCCAGCUUGGGAGGUCGGAAGCCAAAAGUUUUGAGGAGAGAUGUCCCCUGAGAAGAAAUGGACUGCCAGUAGUCUGUCAGGAAGCCUGAAAAUACUUGUUCAUGAAAUCUCUGCUUGAACGCUCUGGGUGCCUCAUGCAAUUCCCCUUGAGGCAUAAUAACAGCAGUUAACCUUUGAAGGGGCUCUCACGAUUGUGGAUGGCCUCCAGCUGAAGACCGCUGACAACACCAGUAAAGUUGAACGAAGUUGGCCUUAUUGUCUCCUUGCAAGGAGGGAGACACAUCAUGAAGGACGGCGGCAUUUCAGGAAGAGGGUGCCUGAAAGAAUUUACAGGAUUUGGACUUGUGUUAGGUAACCUCUAGGUGUGUUCAAGGAAGCAGGCCUUCUGUCUAGACUGGAUGCUUUUAGGAGGUGGAGCAUGGUCCCAGGUCUGACCUCCCUGAACUGGCUACUUGCAAGAGACUCUUCAGAGAUUUCAAGCAUCCCCCAAGAGCACAAGCAGAGGGAGAGGGAGAAGCAGGCUCCC